rnacentral:lncRNA from 1 species
AGAUUUUUUUUUUCGCUCGUUUAAAUUGAGCCUAUCUAACGUGUUUAACCAGCCAACGUGUUUAACCAACAUGUUUAACCAACCAACCAACCAACCACCCAACCAAUCAAUCAAUCAAUCAAUGAAUGCAUGUUUCCGUUUCAUGUGUUAAAUACGGGAUCCAAGAUGGUUUUUUUCGCUCGUUUAAAUUGAGCCUAUCUAACGUGUUAACCAGCCAACGUGUUUAACCAACGUGUUUAACCAAACCAACCAACCAACCAACCAACCAACCAACCAAUCAACCAAUCAAUGCAUGUUUGCGUUUCAUGUGUUAAAUACGGGAUCCAAGAUGGUUUUUUUCGCUUGUUU